rnacentral:rRNA from 1 species
GACGUAGGGGGCGAGCGUUGUCCGGAUUUAUUGGGCGUAAAGCGCGCGUAGGCGGCCCGUUAAGUCGGAUGUGAAAACCCGGGGCUCAACCCCGGGCCUGCAUCCGAUACUGGCGGGCUGGAGGCAGGCAGGGGAGAGUGGAAUUCCCGGUGUAGCGGUGAAAUGCGCAGAUAUCGGGAGGAACACCGGUGGCGAAGGCGGCGCUCUGGGCCUGUCCUGACGCUCAGGCGCGAAAGCUAGGGGAGCAAACAGG